UACGUAGGGGGCUAGCGUUGUCCGGAAUCAUUGGGCGUAAAGAGCGUGUAGGCGGCCCGGUAAGUCCGCUGUAAAAGUCAAAGGCUCAACCUUUGAAUGUCAGUGGAUACUGCCGGGCUAGAGUCCGGAAGAGGCGAGUGGAACUCCUGGUGUAGCGGUGGAAUGCGCAGAUAUCAGGAGGAACACCGGUGGCGAAGGCGGGGUCUCUGGGCCGUAACUGACGCUGGAGGAGCGAAAGCGUGGGGAGCGAACAGG
rnacentral:rRNA from 1 species